rnacentral:lncRNA from 1 species
CUUAAUUGUAGACUCAGUGUGGAGUGGGACGACAUUUCAUCACCUUAUUUGUCAUAGCCGUCACUGUGAUCUCAAUACACAGUCCUGGUGACAAUCAAGUGUGUCAACACAAAAUUAGUUCAGCUUGCUUUUGUUACUCACGGUUUUAAAGAGGAAGAGGAGGAGCCUGUCCAGAGGCAGCACCCCCAGGGCAUCUGAUGCCAGAGGCAGAAGCCAGGCUGGAGGAUCACACAUGAGAAAGAAUUUCACCACACUUGGUUGAGUGUGCAACCGGGUUAUUUUAUCAGAAGACAGUGCUGGAAUUGAUCCUAAAGAAAAAGAAUAAAAGAUGUGUACACACUUAGAGCACAUAUUUGUUGCAGCUUUGUUUAUGAUACUGAAAAGUUUGAAAUGGUCU